rnacentral:rRNA from 1 species
ACUGGUCGGCUAGAGUGUGGGAGAGGAUGGUAGAAUUCCAGGUGUAGCGGUGAAAUGCGUAGAGAUCUGGAGGAAUACCGAUGGCGAAGGCAGCCAUCUGGCCUAACACUGACGCUGAGGUGCGAAAGCAUGGGGAGCAAACAGGAUUAGAUACCCUGGUAGUCCAUGCCGUAAACGAUGUCUACUAGCCGUUGGGGCCUUUGAGGCUUUAGUGGCGCAGCUAACGCGAUAAGUAGACCGCCUGGGGAGUACGGUCGCAAGACUAAAACUCAAAUGAAUUGACGGGGGCCCGCACAAGCGGUGGAGCAUGUGGUUUAAUUCGAUGCAACGCGAAGAACCUUACCUGGCCUUGACAUAGUAGAAACUUUCCAGAGAUGGAUUGGUGCCUUCGGGAAUCUACAUACAGGUGCUGCAUGGCUGUCGUCAGCUCGUGUCGUGAGAUGUUGGGUUAAGUCCCGCAACGAGCGCAACCCUUUUCCUUACUUGCCAGCAUUUCGGAUGGGAACUUUAAGGAUACUGCCAGUGACAAACUGGAGGAAGGCGGGGACGACGUCAAGUCAUCAUGGCCCUUACGGCCAGGGCUACACACGUGCUACAAUGG